UACGGAGGGUGCAAGCGUUGUUCGGAAUUACUGGGCGUAAAGAGCGUGUAGGCGGUUUGGUAAGUCAGAUGUGAAAGCCCUGGGCUCAACUCAGGAAGUGCAUUUGAAACUGCCAUGCUGGAGUAUGGGAGAGGAGAGUGGAAUUCCCAGUGUAGAGGUGAAAUUCAUAGAUAUUGGGAGGAACACCGGUGGCGAAGGCGGCUCUCUGGACCAAUACUGACGCUGAGACGCGAAAGCGUGGGUAGCAAACAGG
rnacentral:rRNA from 1 species